rfam:Oenococcus kitaharae DSM 17330 chromosome, whole genome shotgun sequence.
GCGGAAGUGGCUCAACUGGAUAGAGCAUCGGAGUUCUAAUCCGCAGGUUGUGGGUUCGAGUCCCACCUUCCGCA